rnacentral:rRNA from 1 species
AGAGUUUGAUCAUGGCUCAGAACGAACGCUGGCGGCGUGCCUAACACAUGCAAGUCGCGCGAGAAAAGGGGGGCAACUCCCUGAGUAAAGCGGCGCACGGGUGAGUAACACGUAGGUAAUCUACCCUCGAGUCCAGGAUAACCUACCGAAAGGUGGGCUAAUACCGGAUAUGACCACGGGAGUUUCGGCUCCUGCGGUGAAAGGUGGCCUCUGCUUGCAAGCUACUGCUCGGAGAUGAGCCUGCGGGCCAUUAGCUAGUUGGUGAGGUAACGGCUCACCAAGGCGAUGAUGGCUAGCUGGUCUGAGAGGAUGGCCAGCCACACUGGGACUGAAACACGGCCCAGACUCCUACGGGAGGCAGCAGUGGGGGAUAUUGCGCAAUGGGCGAAAGCCUGACGCAGCGACGCCGCGUGGGUGAUGAAGGCCUUCGGGUCGUAAAGCCCUGUCGAGGGGAACGAAACGGUCUCGACCUAACACGUCGAGUCCCUGACGGUACCCCUAAAGGAAGCACCGGCUAACUCCGUGCCAGCAGCCGCGGUAAUACGGAGGGUGCGAGCGUUGUUCGGAAUCACUGGGCGUAAAGGGCGUGUAGGCGGUCCGCUAAGUCUGAUGUGAAAGCCCGGGGCUCACCCCCGGAAGGGCAUUGGAAACUGGCGGACUCGAGUCCCGGAGAGGAAGGUGGAAUUCCUGGUGUAGCGGU